AUCGCUUCUCGGCUGAAAACGCCAAGAUCAAAGUGUAGUAUCUGUUCUUAUCAGCUUAACCUCUGGUAAAUGACCCAUGUGGUCAUUAUAAGGUUAAAAUUAUUUUUGGAAAAAGGUCGUCGAAUGAAGCUUGCUUCAUGGCGACCACGGGUCGAAUUGGCGUUGCAGUACUGCCAAUAACGGCCCAUUUCCC
rfam:Soboliphyme baturini genome assembly, scaffold: SBAD_scaffold0004577